rnacentral:rRNA from 1 species
GGACCCGCACAAGUAGUGGAGCAUGUGGUUUAAUUCGAAGAUACGCGCAGAACCUUACCAACACUUGACAUGUUCGUCGCGACUCUAAGAGAUUAGAGUUUUCGGUUCGGCCGGACGAAACACAGGUGCUGCAUGGCUGUCGUCAGCUCGUGUCGUGAGAUGUUGGGUUAAGUCCCGCAACGAGCGCAACCCUCACUUUUAGUUGCCAUCAUUAGGUUGGGCACUCUGAAAGAACUGCCAGUGAUAAGCUGGAGGAAGGUGGGGAUGACGUCAAGUCCUCAUGGCCCUUACGUGUUGGGCUACACACGUGCUACAAUGGGCAUCUACAGUGGGUUAAAUCCCCCAAAAAGAUG